CUUGGGACCAAAGUCCAACUUGCCUGUGAUUUCAGGAAGUGACUUGAACGGAUCUCGUGGAGAAAUCACUGCAUAAACAGUGUGUGUUCCAGGGAUGGAGAUCAGCGUUGUGUUGCUGUGUGUGACGCUGGCAGCCAGUGUGACACCAGUGUCUUCUGCAGCAGAGCCAGGUAUCAUAGAGAGCCUCCUACUGGCCACCAACCAGCGUCCAUGGCUCUGGGGUGUCUAUGUCUUCACUGUGGGACUUCCCAUCAUUCUCUUCAUCAGCCUCAUGUGGCCUGACAAGCGGUUUGGGCCUCCUGAUGAAGAGUAUUACUACAAGAAGUGUGACGAUGCUCAACCAGACAGUCUUGACACCUCUCCUCCUCCUGUACGUAAAGCCGGAGAAACAGUAGCGAGGAGAAGGGAAACUAAGGGUAACCAGAAGAAGUCAGACUUAGAAUCCUGAAGUGCCACAAACUCAGGAGACGAAGCUCCACCAGCCUUCAAGAGGAUGGAAUCUUUGGCCAAUCUCACUGAUGACUGGACAAAACAACAAAGACUGAAGACUGAAGACUAACUAUUUAAUUAUAUUGUAUUAUGGCUUUUCAUUAAUGAAACUUAGUAUUUUCAGGUCAAUUUAUAAUUUCAAAAUUAUAAAUAUAUAUUGUAGAUAUUUCAAUUUGGUA